ACGAAACGAUGAUUCGCGAAGGAGGAAACGCAAUGUGCCUUGGCCGUCAGCGAAAAGAGGAAAUGUGCGCAAUCAGCAAAUAGAAAUUGAAAAGAAAGACACGUUCAAUUUCCAAGGAAUACCCCAUUUGUGUCAUGGAUGAAGACAUAUUCGGUAUUUGAUGAAAUAAAUGAAUGUAUGAGCUUCAUCACUGUACGCGAUGUCAAAAUUACUGAAAAUAUUGUAAUCAAUUAUAAUAUUUCAAGGAUAAUGUUUGUUUUCUCAUUUGUUGUAACUUUUUAAGAAUUGAAAUACAGGUUUUUGAUAACUGCA